UGAGCAUGCUGAUGGGUCACGGAAAAAAUCAUCGACCACGAGGCAGCCACAUGGAAAAUCACGCCACAUGGACGGAAAGAAGCAACGAGACAAAUCCAAAGGCUUAACGGACCAGAGUGGACAACAAUGUAACCGGUGCGGAUUAAGUCAUAAAAAAGGAGAAUGCAAAGCAGCCAAUUCUACUUGUCGUGUGUGCGGGAAGAGAGGACAUUGGGCAUCUGUAUGCUGGAGCAGUGCAGGAACGAAGUAAACGACAAAGAGAAUUCGAGUAAAGUAAAGGGUAGUAUUAGACAGGAGAAAAAAGUAACUUUUGAAAACAUUAAACAAAAAUUUAAAGUUAACGAUAACAUUUUAUACAGAAUUACAAGUAAAGAUUUUGC